CACGAGGUAAGAUAUUCCACGGAUCUUACGGUUAUUCUUACAGUCAGAUGGGUUGGAGCGAGGGUCUAUUGGACAGUGUCUGUGAUUGGCCGUGAUCGGACGUCACUCACCACUCCACUAAGCCCCGCCCCUUCUCUUCACGGACUGUUUUCGACUGUUCGAGAGAGCGAGUUUUCGCCACCACGCACAGCCCACGACACGACUGUUGAUCCCCCGCAUUGACAGCCGCGUCCACGGUGUAACUUCAGUCUUCGGCCUUGAACGGAGAUGAGUGAAAUGGCUUUAAUGGCGCUGACUGCGCUGUCAGUUGUUACACACACACACACGGGACGGGAAAGUAGAAACGUUCCGCUUUACGGAGGCACACAGGACCUGUGCAGCGAGCGCGAGGCCCGGUAAGUGUUCCGUGAAACGUCCACGCGACGAGGACAAACGAGCGCCCACGUCCCUGUCGUCUGUCUCACAACGUGUCGGCAGCCUGCGGACAGACUUGUGUACAGAGAAAAGUUUGCGCUUCAGCUGCAAACAUGUGCGUCAUAGACGUCAGUGAACGCGAGGUCGUCGCCUCAGGUAACCACGCACGGGGGAACCACGCGUGAUUCACUCCACUGGACUCGAGGCUGCUCCAUCCACACCUGGCUACGAGUAUUGAGCAGGUUUUUGUUGUUUUUUUUUUGCCCUCAAACAAAGACUUUUAGUUCAUCUUUAGUUUGUUUUUCAUUUUCUAUUUUCAUCAACCAUGUCAUCCUGUCGGAAAUUCCAAGCCAACAUUUUCAACAAAAGUAAAUGUCAGAACUGUUUUAAGCCCCGAGAAUCACAUCUGCUCAACGACAAAGACUCAAACCAGGCAAAACCUAUAUCUGGAGGAUGGUUGCUGCUGGCACCGGAGGGAACAGAUUUUGACAAUCCAUUACACAGAACCCGGAAAUGGCAGAGGAGGUUCUUCAUCCUUUAUGAGCAUGGCUUACUUCACUAUGUUCUGGAUGAAAUGCCCGGCACUCUACCUCAGGGUACAAUUAAUAUGAACCAGUGCUCCGAUGUCAUCGAUGGAGAGAUGAGGACAGGUCACAAGAACUCACUGUGCAUCCUCACCCCAGAGAAGGAGUACUUUAUACGGGCAGAAUGUAAAGAUGUCAUCAAUGGGUGGCAGGAAGCUCUGGCUGUGUAUCCUUCUACCAACAAGCAGAAGAAAAAACGAAAGGUUGAACCAAAUCUCCAGGAGCCUGGCCCUGCCAAGGUGACAGUGACCAGCAGCAGCAGCAGCAGUGGAGGCAGUGCUGAGUCUGUCCCCAAGAGCCGUGCCUCUCUGUGGCAGAAUGAGAGCCAGUGGAGCAGGACCACAAUCCCCCACACAGACUCCACCAUCACGACUCCAGACGAUGUUGGCACUGUGAGAACUGGACGCAAGAUGCGAGUGGAGAGUGGCUACUUUUCCUUGGAAAAGACCAAGUCAGAGCCUUCCUCACAGUCUGCGCAGCCUCAGCAUGUGACCCUUUCCUCUUCAGCACCCUCCUCCUCUUUAGGAGCUCCUGGUCCCAGGUACAAACCCAAGACCGAACCACCAACUCCCCCCCGUCAACCUUCCCAGGAUCUGCUCCCUUCACCAGGUGCACUUCCACAAUCCACAAUCCCUUCCUCCCAGAGGCCUGAGACUCUUAGUGUCACUGGGACUAAGCCCACUUGGGAGUUCAGUGUUGGUGAAAGGAGUGCUGAUACUGAUGGAGGAGGCAGAGUGGGCCGCUGUGACAGACAGACCUGUAGAGACACAGGUCUGACUUUCCACACAGAGCUGCGGCCACGAACAUGUACUCCUGGCAGAGAGGAGGUCGCCUGGCUGUUCGGGGAGGAGCGCAGGCUUUCUCAAAUCCUCAGGCGGUUUGAAGAGGGUCAGCUUGUAGAGCAAAAGGACCCGAGCAGCCACAGCGAGCCCUCUGCUAACACCACCACGCUAAUCCAGAGACAUGGCUGCAGCGGAAGACGUGAUCUGCUCCAUAAACAUCCAGAUCUGCUGAACUUCAAGAAAGGAUGGAUGACCAAGCUGUAUGACGACGGAGUGUGGAAGAAACAUUGGUUUGUCCUGACAGACCAGAGUCUGAGGUACUACAAGGACUCAGUAGCUGAGGAGGCUUCACACCUCGAUGGUGAGAUUGACCUUUCCACGUGUUAUGAUGUCAAAACGUUCCCCGUCCAGAGGAAUUAUGGCUUCCAGAUCCUGUGCCAAGAUGGAGCAUACACACUGUCAGCUAUGACCUCUGGAAUCCGUCGCAACUGGAUUCAGGCCAUUAUGAAGAAUGUGCAGCCUACUGUCGCCCCCGACAUCACCCGGUCGCUCUCUGAUGAGAAGAUAAAAACCCAAAUGAUGUUGAAGCCGUGUCUCCAGGUGACCGUUGAGCAGAGCCUCGUCCCAGAGGGCCACAGACAACCACCUGGUAACCAAUCCUCUGUGCUUUCCUCUGAGCUCUGUAAAACUGCAGUUUGUGAGCACAAACUAGAGGGAUGCUCUGAGACCUAUGAUUGCUUUGACUCGAAGAUGGAACAGACAGAAAAGCCUGUGAAGGCACAAGGAGACACAGUUGACCUCAGCUCUACAACCUCCUCAUCCUCUCCUGGCUCUACCUCCUCCUUCCAAACCUCUGUAUCAGUUGCUCACCCACUUUCAACAACAGGAAGGGAGAAUGUCAGGAGGGGUAUCCAGCUACACAGCACAAGUGCAAACAACGUGCCAAAUACUGCUACUGUGACAGUGACAUCAACUCUGAAUAACAACGUGAUACCUUUAUCUGAAAUCCAAGAGCAAGGGAAGAAGGAAGCGCACCACCCUACAUCCUCGCAUCAUAUUGAUGAAGAUAAGGACGGCAGACCCUCAGUUGUCCAUGAAGAGAUUGAGCAGCGAUGGCAUCAGGUGGAGACAACACCUUUGAGAGAAGAGAAGCAAGUGCCCAUCACCACAGUCUUAGGAACCUCUGCCAGACUACCUGCCCAUGAGCUUGUCGUGCUGCUGGACAAAGAGUUGGGACAGAAGCAGACUGAGCUGGAUCAACUACAGAAGCAGAACAACAUUUUAAAAGAGAAGCUGGAAGAUGCACUUGGCAGAGAACUGAGUGCCAGAGAGGGCUAUGUAUUACAGACGACAACACCCCCUUCAUCUCCAUCACACAGAGUGCAGUGGCAGCACUUGCACAAACUUAAUCAAGAAACCCAAAAGCACAAGCAAGACCUUGCUCCGCAGCAGAUCCAGAGAUCAAACAGAAGCAACACUAAUGCUCAAGAUGCCGUAGACCACCACGUGGCAGAUAUUCAGGCUCUGCAGCAUGAACUAACAUUUUUGAUGGCUCAAAUCUUGGCUAGUGAACAGGCUAUGACUCGAAUGCACAAUACGUUAGAACAGGAGCAUUCAACGGAACAAAAAGGUGAAGCCACCACAUGUGUCCAGCUAAAGGACAAUGAGGACAGACGACGUGAAUUAGAGGCCUGCCUAUUGGAGAGGAACCAGGCCCAUAGGCACAUGAGAGAGGUACAAAGGUUGGAGGAGAGACUUCAAGACGUAACUGCUAGAUCUAGUGCUACUGAACAGAGCCAGACUGUGAAGGAAGAGUGCCUGAGUAAGGAGCAGCACAGCGUGCAAGGAAGUCAUGAUGGGGAAAGACAGAGUCUAUGUGGAAGAUUAUCUCAGGCGGACAUGGUACAAAAAGAGAUAGAGAACAGAGUGCUGAAAGCUGGGCAUCAGGAAAGAGCUUUGCUCAGAACUAGGCAGAACUCAGAAGGGAACGAAUACAGGGAGAAAAUGUUGAAGUUAGAAAAGGAACUGACCCAGAAGAUUGACAUGGUUGAAACACUGAGAGAGAGUAUGCAUAGGGUAGAAGAGAAAUGCCAUCUCACUUCCUGCUGUCAGGAGCUUCUCAACCAGAUUGCAGACACAGACUGUGAGGUGAAUGAACUCUGCAAAUAUCCGGAAAAUGAAGAAGCUGAAUACGACACACUGCAGCACUCAUGUGAGAGAGCUACCCUGGAGUUCCAGAAAAUGAGCCACUUCCUUGGAGAAAAAGAAGAAGAGAUCCGACAGACUAAAGAUAUAUAUGAGAGGCUGGUGAAACACAGGGAAAGGGACUUAAAAGAGGCACUUAUUAAAAUGACGCUUCUUAGCAACAGCUUGGAGCAAACGGAACAGAAGUUGCAAGCUAAGGAGGAGCUUCUCUGUCAAAUGAGUCAACGUCUCUCAGGAAAGGUUGAGCCCUGUAGUCAUGACAAGAAUCUGCAAUCCAUGCUUGUGGUUGCAGAGGACCAUAAUGCAGAGCUAGAGCAGCUUCUCAAUGCCCUGCAGUUGGGCUAUGCCGAUCGUCACAUGGAAAGACGGCAAACUCCAGAACAGAGCAAGAGGGGAAGACUUCAUACGUCACCCUCCUCAUCACCGAACACAGAGCGUACACCCAAGACAGAGGAACCCCCAGAUGAUAAGGAGUCACAAAAUAAGCCACAUACUAAUGACCCGGAGAGGUUUAUCUCCAUUAUACAUGCCUUAGAAUCUAGACUGCUGGCCGCUGAGGAUAGGCUAAGAAAUAUGACACAUCAUUUAGAGGAGCAGCGAUCUUCCUGGGUAGAUGACAUGACAAAGACUGAUCUCAGGAGGACAAAAGAAAAUAACCGUUACUUAGGUAAAGAGUUUUGUUGUGGUAGUACGACACAAAGUAGUGCUGCCAAUAACCACUAUAUGAAUGCUUUGGCGUGUGUGGAAAACAGUCAGAGGAAAGUCAGAGCUUUUCUCCUUGGCUCUCAUGAUGCCGCUGUUUCACAGCUACGUUCACUGUCAGCUAUAGAAAAGGAUUUGUUCAAAGCAUCACUGCACAUCCAACAAGGACAAAUGAUGCAAGAGCAUACAGCAGUUGUCCAAAAUCAAACUUCAGAGGUUCCAGAGAGUGCCCUCUGGAAGGAAAUGGAGAUAUUUGAAACGGAUGAUGCUACAUCCAAAAACAGAAGUGUAAAUGCUGAUGCCACUAUCUUUAACACUUUAAUGAAAGCAGAGCUUGUCUACUCCAUUCAAAAUCUUGAACUUUGCUUUGAGGAGAAAUUCAACAUUCUGAAAAGAGAGUUAAAUGAAGCUUUUAGUAACUUAUAUCAAAGGGAAAUGGCUCUGAGAGCAAUUAUUCAAGCUUCCAAAAGCCCUGAUUUGAGAAAUAUAAGGAAGGAAGUUGAAAAUAGGUUUUUCUCAAGUAAACAAAAGUUAGCUGACAUUCAUCCCCCUGACGUUGCUCCUUACAUGGAGCAGAUUAAAAUGGAUGCAGCUCGAGACUUGGCUGACAACACUGUAGGCAGACACUUGGCUGUACGAAUUGUCCCUUUUGGUGAUGACUCUGUUGAGCUACUCCAAAAUGCGCAUGCUAACCUUGCUAAAGAGCUUCAGAGGCAAGCAGCAACCCUCCAUAAAUAUGCUCAAGAGAUAGAAAGUGGUGUAAACCAUCCUGGACAGGUUAAAAUGACCCCCCAUCAUAAUUUAAGCAGCUCUCUGUGUUUGCGUGAAGCUCGUACCCAUGCUCAGGUGGCCCAUGCUGCAUGCAGGUUACAGGCCACACAUGAACAAGAGUUGGGUCGGUGCAAACAGUCAAGUCAGAACAUGGAUGCUGUUGUUCAGCAGCAUGCUCACAAUAUUAGUGCAAUUCAAGAGAAGUAUGAAGCCAUUUUACAGGAGGGGCGUCUGAGGUUCUCACAGAUGGUGACCACUCUACAAAUGGAGAUUCAAACACUGAAGAGUGAGAUCUGCAAGCGUGUGAACCGGCUCUACCAGCAGCAGGAGCAUCUGGCCCUCCUGGAGGAGCAUAACGAGGAGCACCCUGAAGAGUUGAAGCAGCUUCACCAAGCUUUGACAGCGCUGGAUAUCAUGGAUAUAGUUGCUGAUGGCCAACGAAGGUUGGAGGUUCUGCUGAUAGACGUAGAUACAGUGAAGAAGCGACACAAGCAUCAUGUGAAAAAACUGGAGGAGCACAUUGAGCAAUGGAUCUGUGAGCUUCAGCACAAUCAUAGAAAAGAGAUAGGAAAGUUACAGUCUCAACAUGUGUCAAAGAUGGACUCAAUAGGGUUUCUGAAGGAACGGAUCCAGGACCUGGAGACAGAGAUGAACUUCAUGCGGCUCGAAAUGGAGAACAACCACCUCGAUGGAGAUGUGUCCAGCCUGAGAGAGAAAGACCAGAGAGACUUUGACAGUCUUAAGUCCACAUGUGAACGUGGGUUUGCUACAAUGGAAGAAACACACCAGAGAGUGAUAGAAGACCUGCAGAGGCACCAUCAGAGAGAGAUUUCUAAACUGAUGGAGGAGCGAGAAAGACUGCUGGCUGAGGAAACUGCUGCAACAAUUGCUGCUAUUGAAGCUAUGAAAAAUGCACAAAAGGAGAAAAUGGAGAAGUCCCAGCGCUCCCACCUGAGUGGACUGAACUCUGACAUCGAUGAGCUUCACUUACAAUAUGAAGAGGAGCUCCAGUCCAUCCAGAGAGAACUGGACGUGUUGUCAGAGCAGUAUUCUCAGAAAUGUCUGGAGAAUGCUCACCUUGCUCAGGCACUGGAGGCUGAAAGGCAGGCCCUCAGGCAGUGUCAGAGAUAUAACCAGGAACUGAACGCUGACAAUCAGCAGGAAUUAAACAAGCAGCUGACUGCAGAGAUCACACAGAAGCGUUCACGUGUCACCGGGGAAACAACGUUGUCCUCACUGACCCAGGGCAAAGAUGUGUAUGAACUAGAGGUGUUGCUGCGCAUUAAGGAGUCAGAGAUCCAGUAUCUGAAACAGGAAAUCCACUCUUUGAAAGAUGAAUUGCAGUCUGCUUUAAGGGACAAGAAAUAUGCCACAGACAAAUAUAAGGACAUUUAUACAGAGCUCAGCAUCGUGAAAGCAAAAGCUGACUUUGACAUCAGCAAACUGAAGAAGAAGUUACUGACAGCCACAGAAGCUUUAGGUGGAAGGAGUGUCGAUGAAGCCGUGACAUCUGGAUAUGACAUCAUGAAGUCAAAAAGUAAUCCAGAUUUUAUUAAAAAAGAUAAAGCAACAACCUCCAAACAGUUGAGAAGAAUAAGGUCAAAGACUGUCACUGCACAGGUCUCAUGGGACAGCUGACACUCCAGUUGUGGGGUGAACGCCUUAACCCCUGCACCAAGAUGCUCUGUAGAGCCUGAAGGAGGGACUAACUCUGCAGGAGUGCACGAAGCAAAGCUUUUUUAUAUCAACAAUUUCAAAUUUAAUUUACAAUUAUUAUUUACUGAAGACAAAGUUACAGUGGGCUUGCUGCUUCCAUGAUGUUUAAUGACAUCUCUUUGAAAUACAUAUUAUUAUUUUUAUAUUCUUUUUGUUUCAACCUGGAAAUCUGUCAGAUAAGCUGUGACAACAGACAGCAACACACGAAUAAUGAAUAAUAUAUAUUUCCCAGUAUGAAUGCUGUAUGCUGUGUUUCCAGAUCUGUUGGUUUGGUCCGUGUUAAACGUUGCACCUGUGCUGCUUUACAUACAUAACUGCUGUACUGUGGUACCAACUAUAGUUAACUUCCUUAUCUGUGACAGUUAAAACAUGUCUGUGUCUUUUUUAAACUCAGCCUGGUGUAGUGAAAGUGAGUGAGUGAAUCGUUGCCGUGCAGCCAACCAUCUAAAAAAACACACUCACACACUCUCAUGUUUUGCCUUUAGCUUUGAUUACUCACUCAUUCACUGAAGCAUUGUUUCAAUAAGCUUCUGCAGUGUCACAAGAUUUAUUUCCAUCCAGUGUUGAUGAUGGGAGAGUCCCUGCACCUGGGGUUCAGGUCUGGACUCAGGUCUGGACUC